rnacentral:rRNA from 1 species
UACGGGGGGAGCAAACGUUGUUCGGAAUCACUGGGCGUAAAGGGCGUGUAGGCGGCUGAAUAAGUGGGAUGUUAAAUCCCCCGGCUCAACCGGGGACCUGCAUCUCAUACUGUUCAGCUCGAGCACAUCAGAGGAGACUGGAAUUCCCGGUGUAGCGGUGAAAUGCGUAGGUAUCGGGAGGAACACCAGUGGCGAAGGCGAGUCUCUGGGAUGAUGCUGACGCUGAGGCGCGAAAGCCAGGGGAGCAAACGGG